rnacentral:rRNA from 1 species
GGAAUUUUGGACAAUGGGGGAAACCCUGAUCCAGCCAUUCCGCGUGAGUGAAGAAGGCCUUCGGGUUGUAAAGCUCUUUUGUCCGGAGCGAAACGGCUACGGUUAAUACCCGUGGCUACUGCCGGUACCGGAAGAAUAAGCACCGGCUAACUACGUGCCAGCAGCCGCGGUAAUACGUAGGGUGCGAGCGUUAAGCGGAAUUACUGGGCGUAAAGCGUGCGCAGGCGGUUUUGUAAGCCAGAUGUGAAAGCCCCGGGCUUAACCUGGGAACGGCAUUUGGGACUGCAAGGCUGGAGUGCGGCAGAGGAGACUGGAAUUCCUGGUGUAGCAGUGAAAUGCGUAGAUAUCAGGAGGAAUACCGAUGGCGAAGGCAGGUCUCUGGGCUGACACUGACGCUCAUGCACGAAAGCGUGGGGAGCAAA